UUCCAGUGAAUGCAAAAGUUGUGAAGUCUACCCAGAGUUACCUGCUCACAUGUUUCUGCAGGACCUCACAGAAACUCUGCAGUGGAUCUAUAGCAUAUUAACCAAGUAAAACACUGCAUACAGCAGAAACAAGAAAAUGAUGGAAGGUGACCCUGAUUUAAUCCAGUUAUCCAGUGUAAUGAACAGAGUAAAUGGGAGUGAUUUCAUGAACCUGGACACUGUUGUCUUCUGGCUAAUGAACAAAAAAACAGCAGAAUGCAUGUCUUCAGAAGUUAGCAGAAUCACCAGUGUGAAAAAGGAAUCUGUCCUUGCCUUGUCAACUGCACAUGGUGAACAGGAGGGUAAAUAGAAGGACAUGAUGGCCACUAUAUGCUGACAUGAUGGAGAUGUAAUUUAUGAAACAUUUCUAUUCUGUUUGGUUGGCAAUGUGGACCUAAAUGGAAAAGUUUCAUUAUUAAGAUUUCUAUUACCAUUUUGAUGGUGCGACUAGAAUAUAAUACUUGUUGCAGCUACAUGAUAUGCUGAAAGAAAUGGACUGAUUCAGCAAAAUGGAAACCACAUACUAAGCAUUGCAUGUACAUGCUUGUGUGUUCCCUUCAUAAUUGUCAGUCGUAUUGAGUUUCAGUCAUUUCUUACAUUGCAGGAGGAAGAGGAGGAGCAAGAGUAUAAGAGAUGCAGAAAUACAAGUGAAUCUAUUCCCUACAGGAUACAUUUCAUUUAAAGUGCUCCAGAGACAAAGGGAAUCACUCACCUCU